AACCAUAGAAACCUGCGGAGUACCUGCGGAAGGAUCAUUAAAAAGAGUGUGUACCCCCCUGUAAAAUGGGUGGGUUACCUCCCGUCCUUUGUUGACCUCUUAGGAGGUUAUUUUGAACUUUUCUGCUUCGGUGGGGUUAAACCUACCGGAACACCCUCAAAUUCUGAUCAUUUAAAAAUUGUUCAGUCCGAUUUUUGUUAAUAAAAACAAAAAACUUUCAACAACGGAUCUCAGAUCGGA
rnacentral:misc_RNA from 1 species